GGGGCGCUGCAGGACCGGCGUGAGGGGCCGUGAGGGGCCGCGCUCGGGCGGCGCUGCCCUAACAAAUCGUUCGUGUUCUCCUCGUCGGAAAUCGCGGCUGCUGCUUCCCGAGGGUUCCAGCCUUGCCCUGAGCAGCUCCACGUUCUCCUGAUGCCCAGGAGGGGCUGGACACAGGUGGGGCCUCCAGAGGCCAGCUCACCUCUAGGAGUCCAGGUGACCAACACACCUGGAGAUGCAGAUCCUGAGCUGAUACCUCCUUCCUCGUAGGAUGAACCCUCCAUUCAGCAGGAUGUCACCCAUUCAUGGUGGAGCUGCAGGUUCCUGUCCUGGGGCUAGAUGAGAGACUGCUUUUCAGUUUACUCUUCAUUGUUUGGACCACAUAAUCCACCACAGCUGAAGCCACAACUCUUCUUGUAUGUACUGGGCUACAACACCCAAUAUCUUUAUGGUCAGAGUCUGCUGAGCCACCUGAAUUCCUGUCACCUUUUACUUCAUGGGAGAACCAAGGAGAAGGCUUUAAAUUCCCCCUGAUGUUGAGCUGAUUCUGCCCUUUUCUGGGUUUGUGCUGCCUGUACCACCUGUGGUGUGAAGGGAAAACUGCUUUAUCAAAAAAGAAUAAUGUAUUAAACUGGCUCCAUCCAGAUAAAACACUCUAAAAACAUGAAAUAAAACACAGUGAUUUAAAUCCUAAACUUCCUUCAGCAACCUCAGCCUUAUCCUGCACUUGACCUAGGCAAAACCAAAAUAACUGUACAGCAAAAAUUCAGGCUACUGAAGGAUGACAAACGUUGGAGGAAAAGUGAGAAAUUAUUUUCAGAAAUGGAGAAGCUGAAGGCAAACGCCUCCUGAUGUGAGACUGGGCAAAUUGGGAAACCUGGAGGCUGGAACAGUCUCCAAAGUGUUGGGUUCUUUCUGCUGUUGCUCAUUUGCAGUUCAGUGUGAGCACCUGAAGAAUGCAGCCUUGUCACAGGAGAGCACAUCCCUGAGCACCACACAGAAUAAAAGAGGGAAACAACAACACAUCUUUAAUUAAUGAGAGAUUCUGUCCCUGUGGGUCCAUCUCUUGUGUCUCAGAUGAUGCAUCAAACUUAGUCUGU